rnacentral:rRNA from 1 species
AUUGAACGCUGCGGCGGGCUUAACACAUGCAAGUCGAGCGAGAGGCGGACGGGAGAGUGAUACUUAGGAAUCUGCAUAUUAGUGGGGGACAAGAUCUCGAAAGGGAUGCUGAUACCGCAUACGAAGAGACGAGCCUAAGUCGGAUUAGGUAGUGGGUGGGGUAAAGGCCUACAAGGGUGAGGAUCUGUAGCGGGUCUGAGAGGAUGAUCGGCCACACUGGGACUGAGACACGGCCCAGACUCCUACGGGAGGCAGCAGUGGGGAAUAUUGGUCAAUGGGGGGAACCCUGAUCCAGCCAUGCCGCGUGUGUGAAGAAGGCCUUAUGGUUGUAAAGCACUUUAAGCGAGGAGGCGUUACUCGCAGAAUAAGCCCCGGCUAACUCUGUGCCAGCAGCCGCGGUAAUUC